UACAGAGGGUGCGAGCGUUAAUCGGAAUUACUGGGCGUAAAGCGUGCGCAGGCGGUUUUGUAAGCCAGAUGUGAAAUCCCCCGGGCUUAACCUGGGAAUGGCAUUUGGGACUGCAAGGCUGGAGUUUGGCAGAGGAGACUGGAAUUCCUGGUGUAGCAGUGAAAUGCGUAGAGAUCGGAAAGAACACCAACGGCGAAAGCACUCUGCUGGGCCGACACUGACACUGAGAGACGAAAGCUAGGGGAGCGAAUGGG
rnacentral:rRNA from 1 species